rnacentral:tRNA from 1 species
GCCUGCGUAGCUCAGUGGUUGAGCGUCAGCCUGUGGACUGAAGGGUCCCGGGUUCGAUUCCGGUCAGGGGCA